rnacentral:rRNA from 1 species
CGGGUAAGUUCCGACCUGCACGAAUGGUGUAACGAUCUGGAAACUGUCUCAGCCGUGAGCUCGGUGAAAUUGUAAUAUCGGUGAAGAUGCCGAUUACUCGCAAUGGGACGAAAAGACCCUGUGAACCUUUACUAUAGCUUCGUAUUGGUUUUGAUUAAAAAAUGUGUAGGAUAGGUGGGAGACUUUGAAGUAAUGUCGCAAGACAUUAUGGAGUCAACCUUGAAAUACCACCCUUUUUUUAGUUGCAAUCUAACUCAAUUCAUAAUUAUUGAGGACAUUGCGUGGUGGGUAGUUUGACUGGGGUGGUCGCCUCCAAAAAAGUAACGGAGGCUCCCAAAGGUACCCUCAACACGUUUGGUAAUCGUGUGUAGAGUGUAAUGGCAUAAGGGUGCUUGACUGUGAGACCUACAAGUCGAUCAGGUACGAAAGUAGGGCAUAGUGAUCCGGUGGUUCCGUAUGGAAGGGCCAUCGCUCAAAGAAUAAAAGGUACUCCGGGGAUAACAGGCUAGUCUCCCCCAAGAGCUCAUAUCGACGGGGAGGUUUGGCACCUCGAUGUCGGCUC